CCCCUCUCAGGGUUGCACCUGGAGAGUUUCCAGUACUCUACCAGUCUUGGCUACGGGAGGGAAAGUCAAGCAGACUAAUUCCAUUCCAUUCCUAGCUUGGCCAGUGGUUAGAGAGUGGAAGGCAAUCAGCCACAAGU